GUUUGAUCCUGGCUCAGGAUGAACGCUGGCGGCGUGCCUAAUACAUGCAAGUCGAGCGAAUGGAUUAAGAGCUUGCUCUUAUGAAGUUAGCGGCGGACGGGUGAGUAACACGUGGGUAACCUGCCCAUAAGACUGGGAUAACUCCGG
rnacentral:rRNA from 1 species